rnacentral:lncRNA from 1 species
AGUGCAGCAGCUGUCAAUAAGAUGAGCGCCCCACAGCAUGAUCUCUUGAAGGGAGAUCUGAGGGGUGCAAUUCCGUGGCUGCCACACAGUGUUUUUUUUUGUUUUUUGUUUUGUUUUGUUUUGUUUGAAGUUAGCUGUCAGUCUUAUUGUAGUUCCCCUGAAGACUUGGGCUUUCCCCAGCUCUGGUUGCUUUAGAACUUGUCAUUCUUUUUCAACAAUUUCUACAAUGUGUCCAGCUCACUCUGAUGGAAGCCAGCUGCUAUGCUGUGUGUUGCUCUAUGGAGAGACUCAGGUAGAAGGAAUUGAAGGAGGCUUUCGGCCAACAGUCAGCAAGGUACUGAGGCUUUCAGUCCAAGAGCCUAUAAGGAACUGAAUCCUACCAGCAACCAAGCAAGUGGCUUGAAAAUGGACCCUCUCUCAGCUGAGUCUUUGAAUAAGAUCACAGCUCUUAUUCAAUAUGACACCUUGAUUGUAGUCUUGUUAGAGAUCUUGAGCCAGUGGCACCCAGCUAAGCUGUACCUGUAUUCCUGACCCAUAAAACCCCACAGAUAAUAAAUGUUUGUCAU